UUCGGCGUAUUAGAUCAAAAGUGGCCUCUACAUGUAAGCUACUGUUUGAAGAUGAGCCCGCGUGCCAUUAGCUUGUUGGUAGGGUAAUGGCCUACCAAGGCUACGAUGGCUAGCUGGUCUGAGAGGAUGAUCAGCCACACUGGAACUGACACACGGUCCAGACUCCUACGGGAGGCAGCAGUGAGGAAUUUUGCGCAAUGGGGGGAACCCUGACGCAGCAACGCCGCGUGAGUGAUGAAGGCUUUCGGGUCGUAAAGCUCUGUCAAGUGGGAAGAAAAUGGUCGAUAUUAAUACCAUCGAGCACUGACGGUACCACUAAAGGAAGCACCGGCUAACUCCGUGCCAGCAGCCGCGGUAAUACGGGGGGUGCAAGCGUUAUUCGGAAUCAUUGGGCGUAAAGGGCGCGUAGGCGGUCUCUUAAGUCAGAUGUGAAAGCCCGGGGCUCAACCCCGGAAGUGCAUUUGAAACUAAGGGAUUUGAGUAUGGGAGAGGGAAGUGGAAUUCCUGGUGUAGAGGUGAAAUUCGUAGAUAUCAGGAGGAACACCGGUGGCGAAGGCGACUUCCUGGACCAAUACUGACGCUGAGGCGCGAAGGCGUGGGGAGCAACAGGAUUAGAUACCCUGGUAGUCCACGCAGUAAACGGUGAACACUAGGUGUAGCGGGUAUUGACCCCUGCUGUGCCGCAGCUAACGCAUUAAGUGUUCCGCCUGGGGAGUACGGUCGCAAGAUUAAAACUCAAAGGAAUUGACGGGGGCCCGCACAAGCGGUGGAGCAUGUGGUUUAAUUCGACGCAACGCGAA
rnacentral:rRNA from 1 species